UCGUUGUGAACUUCGUUCUGCACGAAAGCAGAAGGACAAAGACAGGAUAUAGUUUCAUGUCUCGCUGUUUUUUUCUGUAUCAGGGCAUGAAUUAUGGUCAGUAUCAUAAACAGUGACACAUGGGAAGACACGUUGAGCAACCACCACUUACGUCAACACCGGUAUGUGCAAGAUAAUGUACAGAUGGCAAAAAUUGUCAAGUAUGCCUUCGUCUUCGUACUUCGUUGUCUUGCUCAAACUCUCUAAUAUGUCA